rnacentral:rRNA from 1 species
AUGGUCAAUUUGAUCUUUGACUUUGUUUGGGCCGUUAGAUGCUCGCUACUCUCGCUGGUGGUUUUGACCGUGUGCAUACAAUGCGCCAGGUUCUACUACAAUAGUAUGACAUACAAAGUCAUGGAGGAGAGGUGUUCAGAGAAAGAUUUAUACAUGUGCCAGGUUCUGAAGUAUGAGGAUCCGGUGCGACAGGAAGCAACACUGAAUAUGGUUCCUAUAGAUGAACUUAAGGAGAAGGCGCUUAUUUCACUGGCCAAGGAAACAUGUGAAAAAGGUGGGAUCUUUCCAUCAGCUUUCGCAACUGGCUAUAUGCAUCAUAGAGCAUCUAAUCUGCAUCAACUUUAG